ensembl:lncRNA
GUUAGAGGCAGUGUCCUGUCUGUUGUUAGUGAUGAGGUGGAGGUUUGAGGCAGUGUCCUGUCUGUUGUUAGUGAAGAGGUGGCGGUUAGAGGCAGUGUCCUGUCUGUUGUUAGUGAUGAGGUGGAGUUUAGAGGCAGUGUUCUGUCUGUUGUUAGUGAUGAGGUAGAGGUUAGAGGCAAUGUUCUGUCUGUUGUUAGUGAUGAGGUGGAGGUUAGAGAUAGUGUCUUGUCUGUUGUUAGUGAUGAGGUGGAGGUCAGAGGCAGUGUCCUGUCUGUUGUUAGUGAUGAGGUGGAGGUUUGAGGCAGUGUCCUGUCUGGUGUUAUUGAUGAGGUGGCGGUUAGAGGCAGUGUCCUGUCUGUUGUUAGUGAUGAGGUGGAGGUUAGAGGCAGUGUCCUGUCAGUUGUUAGUGAUGAGGUGGAGGUUAGAGGCAGUGUCCUGUCUGUUGUUAGUGAUGAGGUGGAGGUUAGAGGCAGUGUCCUGUCUGUUGUUAGUUAUGAGGAGGAGGUUAGAGGCAGUGUCCUGUCUGUUGUUAGUGAUGAGGUGGAGGUUAGAGGCAGUAUCCUGUCUGUUGUUAGUGAUGAGGUGGAGGUUAGAUGCAGUGUCCUGUCUGUUGUUAGUGAUGAGGUGGAGGUUAGAGGCAGUGUCCUGUCUGUUGUUAGUGAUGAGGUGGAGGUUAGAGGCAGUGUCCUGUCUGUUGUUAGUGAUGAGGUGGAGGUUAGAGGCAGUGUCCUGUCUGUUGUUAGUGAUGAGGUGGAGGUUAGAGGCAGUGUACUGUCUGUUGUUAGUGAUGAGGUGGAGGUUAGAGGCAGUGUUCUGUCUGUUGUUAGUGAUGAGGUGGAGGUUAGAGGCAGUGUCCUGUCUGUUGUUCGUGAUGAGGUGGAGGUUAGAGGCAGUGUCCUGUCUGUUGUUAGUGAUGAGGUGGAGUUUAGAGGCAGUGUCCUGUCUGUUGUUAGUGAUGAGUUGGAGGUUAAAGGCAGUGUCCUGUCUGUUGUUAGUGAUGAGGUGGAGGUUAGAGGCAGUGUCCUGUCUGUUGUUAGUGAUGAGGUGGAGGUUAGAGGCAGUGUCCUGACUGUUGUUAGUGAUGAGGUGGAGGUUAGAGGCAGUGUCCUGUCUGUUGUUAGUGAUGAGGUGGAGGUUAGAGGGAGUGUCCUGUCUGU